UACGAAGGGUGCAAGCGUUACUCGGAAUUACUGGGCGUAAAGCGUGCGUAGGUGGUUCGUUAAGUCUGAUGUGAAAGCCCUGGGCUCAACCUGGGAAUGGCAUUGGAAACUGGCGACCUAGAGUGCGGUAGAGGGUAGUGGAAUUCCCGGUGUAGCAGUGAAAUGCGUAGAGAUCGGGAGGAACAUCCGUGGCGAAGGCGACUACCUGGACCAGCACUGACACUGAGGCACGAAAGCUAGGGGAGCAAACAGG
rnacentral:rRNA from 1 species